CCUACGGGCGGCAGCAGUGGGGAAUAUUGGACAAUGGGGGGAACCCUGAUCCAGCGACGCCGCGUGAGUGAAGAAGUAUUUCGGUAUGUAAAGCUCUAUCAGCAGGGAAGAAAAUGACGGUACCUGACUAAGAAGCCCCGGCUAACGACGUGCCAGCAGCCGCGGUAAUACGUCGGGGGCAAGCGUUAUCCGGAUUGACUGGGUGUCAAGGGAGCGUAGGCGGUGAAGCAAGUCUGAUGUGAAAGCUCGGGGCCCAACCCCGGGACUGCAUUGGAAACUGUUGAACGGGCUUACAGGAGAGUUCAGCGGAUUUCCUAGUGUAGCGGUGGACUUCGUAGAUCUUAGGAGGACCCCCAGUGGCGCCGGCGGCUUACUGGACUGUACCUGACGUUGAGGCUC
rnacentral:rRNA from 1 species